AGCGAACGCUGGCGGCAUGCCUAACACAUGCAAGUCGAACGAGACCUUCGGGUCUAGUGGCGCACGGGUGCGUAACGCGUGGGAACCUGCCCUUAGGUUCGGAAUAACUCCCCGAAAGGGGUGCUAAUACCGGAUAAUGUCUUCGGACCAAAGAUUUAUCGCCUUUGGAUGGGCCCGCGUUGGAUUAGCUAGUUGGUAGGGUAAAAGCCUACCAAGGCGACGAUCCAUAGCUGGUCUGAGAGGAUGAUCAGCCAAACUGGGACUGAGACACGGCCCAGACUCCUACGGGAGGCAGCAGUGGGGAAUAUUGGACAAUGGGCGAAAGCCUGAUCCAGCAAUGCCGCGUGAGUGAUGAAGGCCUUAGGGUUGUAAAGCUCUUUUACCCGGGAUGAUAAUGACAGUACCGGGAGAAUAAGCUCCGGCUAACUCCGUG
rnacentral:rRNA from 1 species